rnacentral:rRNA from 1 species
CCCUGUCUGAGGCGGGCUGGACCUCUCGGGGUUACAGCCUUGCUGAAUUAUUCACCCUUGUCUUUUGCGUACUUCUUGUUUCCUUGGUGGGUUCGCCCACCACUAGGACAAACAUAAACCUUUUGUAAUUGCAAUCAGCGUCAGUAACAAAUUAAUAAUUACAACUUUCAACAACGGAUCUCUUGGUUCUGGCAUCGAUGAAGAACGCAGCGAAAUGCGAUAAGUAGUGUGAAUUGCAGAAUUCAGUGAAUCAUCGAAUCUUUGAACGCACAUUGCGCCCUUUGGUAUUCCAAAGGGCAUGCCUGUUCGAGCGUCAUUUGUACCCUCAAGCUUUGCUUGGUGUUGGGCGUCUUGUCUCUAGCUUUGCUGGAGACUCGCCUUAAAGUAAUUGGCAGCCGGCCUACUGGUUUCGGAGCGCAGCACAAGUCGCACUCUCUAUCAGCAAAGGUCUAGCAUCCAUUAAGCCUUUUUUUCAACUUUUGACCUCGGAUCAGGUAGGGAUACCCGCUGAACUUAAGCAUAUCAAAAACGGGGAAGGAAAAAAGAGGGGAGCUAAUCAAUUAAGCGGGGGGAGAGGGGAAUCCUCCUGGGGGUUUACGGCCAGGGAAAAAUUAUCCACCCGUGGUCUUUUUGCGUACUUUUGUUUCCCUGGGUGGGGUUCACCCACACUAGAACAAACAAAAACUUUUGUAAAUUGACAAUCGGCGUCGUUACAAAUUAAUAAUUACACUUACAACGGAGCUUGGUCUGGCUGGAAUAUAGCACGAUGCAUUAGUAAUGGUGAAUUGCAGAUUCGAUGAUCACGACCUUGAGCAAUGCUGAUUCUAGGGAGGCUUUCAGCCUUAGUACUAGCUAAUGUCUGGGAU